rnacentral:rRNA from 1 species
ACCUACAGCCACACAUCCCUGGACAUGCCUGAUCCGGUCUGAUCUCAGAAGCUAAGCAGUCCUAGGCCUGGCUUGUAGGGGUGGGACUCGAGGCGAAUUACUGGUUACCAGUUU